rnacentral:rRNA from 1 species
UACGAAGGGUGCAAGCGUUACUCGGAAUUAUUGGGCGUAAAGAGCUCGUAGGCGGUUUGUCGCGUCUGCUGUGAAAACGCGAGGCUCAACCUCGCGCCUGCAGUGGGUACGGGCAGACUAGAGUGCGGUAGGGGAGAUUGGAAUUCCUGGUGUAGCGGUGGAAUGCGCAGAUAUCAGGAGGAACACCGAUGGCGAAGGCAGAUCUCUGGGCCGUAACUGACGCUGAGGAGCGAAAGCAUGGGGAGCGAACAGG